UGAUGUUACCACCCGACGACUUGGUGACCCAUGGAUUACUCGAGGUUAAACCAAGUCGUCAAUUUUCUGAUUUUCAUCAGAGGCGAUCUCGAAAGACGAAAAAUGUCCGAUGACCAUCUCUCCUCGGCUUCGAACGAACACACUCGCACCCCGCGACAACGCGAUCCGGUACACCUUUUUAUGGUUCGCUCGACGCGCGCAUGCACUUUGCGCUUCGCCUCAAGCUCGAUACCUAUCUCUUGUCGCACGCGAAUGUGAAAUAAGAAAAAGAGAGAAAGUAGAAGAGACAGGUGGAAAUUAAUUAAGGGGGACUCGUACAUUCGUCGUUAAUUUCAAAUUUUAUCGCGGUAAAAACGAUUACUAUUACAUUUUAUUUCGAAUUAAUUAACGAUCCCCAAGGACACUCGUUGUGAUGUCCCCACGUGAGAAUUAUCUAUGAACUAUUCGACUAUUAAAUGCCAUUGAAAUUUUUUUAUCCUACGCUUUGUCUUCUAGUUUCAUAUCUUUUUCCCCUCUCAUUUCUUUUUUCUUUUUUCUUUUUUUUAUUAUUAUUAUUAUAAUUAUAAUUAAUCUUAAAUUCGAACUCGAGAAAGAGAAAGAGAAAGAGAGAGAAAGAGAGAGAGAGAGAGAGACGUAAUAAGCAAUAGGCAGUGUCCUCAAUUACGUUUUCAUUAAAAAAAAAAAACAAAAAAAAAAAAAGACAAAAAAAAAAGAAAAGAAAGAAAGAAAAGAAAACAGAGAAAAAAGAAAACAGAUACCUAAUCUAUGCAACGAUAAUUACGUGAAAUCGAAUUUUUAUUGGAAUUCCGUGUUUCUUUGCUCGUUUAUAUACUGACGUUUUCGCUCGAAAAGACCUCGGGGAGCGAUCGUUAAUUAGCUUACCACCUUCCAAGCAAGAGAAUUUAUUAUCGUCUCACUUCAUUCUUAAUACCGCGAAAUCCGUUAAGUUGUUAUAAGUUUAAAUCGUUAAGCUUAAAUUAUAGCCUGUAUAUAACAGAAUCGCAAUCAAGGCACACGGUUUCGUCUUCGCGGGUAUGUACCGACAUGGUGUUCGGCCAGAUACUUAUACGUAUGACAAAUAUUUUUAUUAUUAUUUUAUAGAUAUAUAGGUAUAUAUAUAUAUAUAUAUAUAUUAAAAAAAAAAAAAAAUGCUCAAGCAAGGGGCAAAUUUAUACUUUUGAGAAGAACAAUAUAUGCCGUCGAAUAAUAAAUAUCGUGCUUUCUUUUAUCAUUCCUAUUUGCGUAGAAGAGAAAGAAAAAGAAAAAAAAAAAAAAGAAAAAAAAACCAAAGGAACAAAC